AGGCAGCUUCUGGCUGAGCUCUGCCUUUUUCUCUGCCCCUGUUCAGUUUUGCUCUUGUAAAGGUCUGGGAUUAUAUAGUUAACCUGAAAUUGUCACUAGUGGAUUUUGUUUUCCUACAGUCUCGAUAGAAGAAUGGGAGGGGAUGGAAGUGAGAAGGAGUUUCUCUGGGAUUUGGGGUCCUAAAGGUGCCAGGAGCCAUCAAAGACCACGCUGUUUGACAUGAUCCACGUGGAAACCAGAGACUGCAAAGCAGCCUCCAGGAAGGAUGGAAACACCCACUGAAACCUCCCUAAGUGACUUUCCUUAUUAAUAUCCUCUUAUUAUUGGAAUUGCUAUGAUUAUUAUUCUUACUUAGCCCCAGGAAAAAUAGAUGACAGCAACAUGUUUGCAAGGUUAAUACAGAUGUCCUACUCUGUCCCCUUAGGAUAUUACCAGGAGAGUCCACUUACAAAAUUAGACCUAAGGAUUCUUAUAUACACACUUAGAUAGGACCCUCUUGUCUAGGCAUAAAAACUCACAACAAAUCUGUACCCUGAGUUCCCCAACUUAUAUCUGGGUCAUGUUGAUUCUACCCUCUGAACCUGCACUUAGAAACAAUGUUUUGUUGACUAUCUCCUAGGCUUCCUCUCUGUUGUUAGGUUCCAGGGAAACAUGUAUGUUGAGAAUGAAUCUGUGUGCGAAGUAGAUGUGUGAUCAUGAGGGUAUAAAAUAAAGCCAGGUCUCAGCCAAGGCAGAGCAGUUUAUCCUGUGAAACCUGUGCUAUGGGUUGAAUGUGAAAGCUGUGUCCUAUCCAUCAUUUUUCUGACCCUGUCCCACCUCCAAGACCCCAGCCUCUGUGGGAGGCUGACCCACCCCACAGCAUUUCAGGACACUGGCCUCAUGACGACUAUAGGCAGUUUGUUUUAUGUAUGAGAAAUAAUGUUACACAGGAGUCUUCUUACCCUAGAAUAUACCUUUACCCCUGUAGUUUUCUUACCCUGAAGUACCCUCUGCCCUGUUUCUCCUUCUUUCAGUGGGUGAGUUCCUCUUGGAUCCUUUAUUUUGAGGAAGCUUCUAGACCAUACUUAUCUCUUUCUUCCUCUUUUGGUUCCACUCUCCAGACUUCUCCAUACCUCAUCAGCUCUAUCACCCUGGAAGAUCCUUCUGUCCCUGUAGCCCUCUCUAAUGAUUGUUUAGUUCCUUCCAGAGUCUGCAUUUUGAGGCAGUAUCCAGAUCAGACAUUUUCAUUCCUUCAGUCCUCUUUUGACUCUGUUACUGAGUCUCUGGACUUAGCUUCUCCUCAACCUACCACUUCUUACUUUUCAGCUCCCUUUUAUGGAUUGUCUUACCUCAUUAGAAUGUAAGCUUCUCAAGAGCAGAGACCAUGUUUCUGUUUGCUUAUAUUAAUAUUCCCAGUUCCUGAUCAUUGAACUUAGCAUACAACAUAUGAUUAAUAAAUGAUUGAUGUGUUUUUAAAUAAAA